UCCCUCCCCCUUUCUAUUUCCUUCAUUUGUUUGAUGCCCUUUAAAGCAGCAGUAACACAGACACUCUUUUUCAUUUAUUGCCCAGGUCUCUUGGAAAAGCCUGCUGGUGGUCUCACUGGGGAUAGGACAGUAUCACACCGGAUGCCUCCAGUUCUCGUGGAGGGGCUGUUCUGCAGCUGUGGGCCAGGACGGCCAUAGAGUCAAUGAGGAAAAACACCUGGAUGGUCACCCAGCCUCUGAGAAGACUUUGCACAAGCUGCUGAGGACACUAAGGCUGGAGACAUGGGACAUGGAUGCCCUGUGAUCAAUUAAGUUGGUUAACGUCACCAGCGUAGAUGAUGUCAACGCUUCACCCUCUGGAGGCCCCAGAAAGCAGCUUUCCUUCACACGCCGCCGGACUGUCCACUGAUGGAGGCGGAUGGAUGCUCUUGGCCGCAUUUCUCGGCACUCAGGUUGUGACUGUCCCAGGCUUCCUGUUAAAUGCAUUCCUGGUCCGAAUAGCUUCACCCACGUGCUCAGGGCAGCGGGUGGAGUGCCAUCUCCACAUUUUUCUGUAGGAAACCCUCCAAGGAGGUGCUGCCUCCUCCUUCGGGCAGUGAAAACUCCUCAGCAAACUGGGACAUAGGUGCCAGAUGUUCAUCAGGACUACCCUGGAAAGAAGUCCAGGCCAUCCAGAUCAGGGAGGCUGGGUCUGAAGCUGGGUCUGCCAAGGCCUGGUUUCUGUCCAAGCCUCACUAGGGGAGGGACUUAUGGUGCAAACUCCCCAUUCCCUCUGGUGUGUGCGUUGCAGCCGUGAUGCUGUUUGCCUCAACUUAUGGGUCUUCUCUGGGCCCAGAUUGAACCUUCCUAUCUGUUUCCACUAGCUUUGUAUGCCAUAUGGCAUUUUACAGCCCCAUACUAUGUAGGUAACAGAAACAACAGCACUUGCAAACUACAUAUAUUUCAAAAAACAACUAGGUCUUUUGAUUAAAUUAUAAGCUUUAAUUAUAUUCUAACUAAUUAGAACAUGUUUAACAUAGACCUCUCCCAUACCUGAAAAACUGAAUGAAAAGAAACUUACAAAUGAACCCUCUGUAGGAUUACCAUUAGGUUAAAAAGAUAACUAAAAAAUAUACUAUUUUAGGCCAAGUGUGAUGGCUCACACCUGUAAUCCCAGUGCUUUGGAAGGCUGAGGCAGGAAGACUGCUUGAGGCCAGGAAUUUGAGACCGGCCUGGACAAGACAGUGAGACUCUGUUUCUAAAAAAUAAAAAUAAAAAAAUUAGUUGAGCAUGGGGAAGGGUACCUGUUGUUCUAGAUACUCUGGAGACUGAGUCCGGAGGAUCACUUGAGCCCAGUAGUGCAAGGUUGCAGUAAGCUAUCAUGGUUAACACUGCACUCCAGCCUGAGUGAAAGAGUGAGACGCUGUCUCUAAAAUAAACACUAUUUUAAAAUUGCAACAUUCUCUUAGUCCCUUCAUCGUUUCAUGGUUUUCCCUCUAGCAAUUAUAUCAUCUUCUGACCUUCAUAUUCCCUAUAGGCAAGUUUUUCUAAACUUUUCCUUUAUAUGCUGUGUAAGGCCUGUUCCUCUUUCCCUACAACAGUGACCUGGAGUAGGCAACUACUUUUAUCCUUUUUAAAAGACUGAUUCAAGCCAUUCUUGUAUUUCUGCAUCAACUGCAACAUUUUAACAACCUAUUCAGGUUUCUCCUACUGCUGAACUCAAUUUGCCAGUAUUUUGAGUCUUCUGCAUAGUUUCAUAAAUGAAAUUGGACUGUAAUUUUUUGCAUUGUACUUCCCUGUAAAGUCACUGAGGGUCUGGUGUCUUUUGGGGGCAAUAUUUUUUUUUUUCUAGAACAGUUUUUGUAAUAGUUAUGUGUUCUCUUGGGUUUUCUGUAUCUUCUUGAAUAAACUUUACAUUGAUGUUUUAACUUAAA